rnacentral:lncRNA from 1 species
GCACCAAGUCCCUAAGCGUGAACCCACACGCCUGCAGGCCCACCCCACUGCUGCCGGCACCAGGUCCCUGAGCGUGAACCCACACGCCUGCAAGCGCACCCCACUGCUGCAGGCACCAAGUCCCUAAGCGUGAACCCACACGCCUGCAGGCCCACCCCACUGCUGCCGGCACCAGGUGCUCUGCACUAAGUGCCAGUAGCCAGCAACACUAGGCGGCUCGCUCGUUUCACCUCCCUAAUGACCCUAUGAGGCAGGGAUGAGCAUCAGAACUGUUAUCCAGAGGAGGCAACUGAGACACAGAGGGUGAGUCACGCACCUGGGCCACAGUGCCAGUGGGUAAAAGCUGCAAAUGAAACUCAGGCAGUCUGGUUCCAGGGCUGGCAUCCUUCAUUGCUACACCCACCACCCUGGAUGGGGGGACGCCUGUGUCCACACCCCACCGCCUAUCAGAGAGUCACAGAGCUAUGGGGGUGCACCUGUGCAUGCAUCGAAACAAAUAUCCAUGGAGCGUGGAUGACGUGCCAGGCGCUGUGCCAGGGGAGACACAGCAUGGCGAGCAAGCAGGUGCAAUCCUUGCCUGCUGGGGCUUGGAUCCAGUAGGGCUCACAGACACACACACAUGCACGCACACACACGAGCGUAAUUACAAACUGUGACUGCAUUACAGCUGUAAUUACAAGUUUCCCAGGAAGGAAAAGUAGAGGGUAUCAAUGAGGGAUUUUUGGUAAUGGGGAGGAACUGAUUUUGGAUUGGGAGUGGGCGCUGGACCAGGAAGGUCUGAUGUUUACGCUGAAAUGUAAAUGGUGCCCAGGAAUUCGCCAGGCAAAAAACUGCAAGAAGAGCAUCAAGCUGAUGGGAACAGCAUGUGCAAAAGUCCAGAGGCGAGAAAAAGCCGGUCCCACUACACUGAGAGAGCCGGGUGGGCACAAAGCCUCCAACAGACUGGACGCCACCGAGGGACUGCACGGGCCUGGCU